rnacentral:rRNA from 1 species
GAUGAACGCUAGCGGCAGGCCUAAUACAUAGCAAGUCGUACGGGGAUUGAGGACUUCGGUUCUCAUGAGAGUGGCGCACGGGUGCGUAACACGUAUGCAACCUACCUUUAACUGGGGGAUAGGCCUUUCGAAAGAGAGAUUAAUACCGCAUAAGACAACAUGAUCGCAUGAGAGAGUUGUUAAAAGCUUCGGUGGUUAAAGAUGGGCAUGCGUUGCAUUAGCUAGUUGGUAAGGUAACGGCUUACCAAGGCUACGAUGCAUAGGGGAUCUGAGAGGAUGACUCCCCCANACUGGUACU